rnacentral:rRNA from 1 species
AACGAACGCUGGCGGCAGGCUUAACACAUGCAAGUCGAACGCCCCGCAAGGGGAGUGGCGCACGGGUGAGUAACGCGUGGGAACCUACCUAUCGGUACGGAAUAACACAGGGAAACUUGUGCUAAUACCGUAUGAGCUCUACGGAGGAAAGAUUUAUCGCCGUUAGAUGGGCCCGCGUCCGAUUAGCUAGUUGGGGAGGUAACGGCUCACCAAGGCUUCGAUCGGUAGCUGGUCUGAGAGGAUGAUCAGCCACACUGGGACUGAGACACGGCCCAGACUCCUACGGGAGGCAGCAGUGGGGAAUAUUGGACAAUGGGCGCAAGCCUGAUCCAGCCAUGCCGCGUGAGUGAUGAAGGCCUUAGGGUUGUAAAGCUCUUUCGUCGGGGAAGAUAAUGACGGUACCCGAAGAAGAAGCCUCGGCUAACUCCGUGCCAGCCGCCGCCGUAAAAC